UACAGAGGUCUCAAGCGUUGUUCGGAUUCAUUGGGCGUAAAGGGUGCGUAGGCGGCGCGGUAAGUCGGGUGUGAAAUCUCGGAGCUUAACUCCGAAACUGCAUUCGAUACUGCCGUGCUUGAGGACUGGAGAGGAGACUGGAAUUUACGGUGUAGCGGUGAAAUGCGUAGAUAUCGUAAGGAAGACCAGUGGCGAAGGCGGCUCACUGGGCCGAUACUGACGCUGAGGAGCGAAAGCGUGGGGAGCGAACAGG
rnacentral:rRNA from 1 species